rnacentral:rRNA from 1 species
AGUUCAGAUUGCAGGCUGAAACUCGCCUGCAUGAAGUCGGAAUUGCUAGUAAUCGCGGAUCAGCAUGCCGCGGUGAAUACGUUCCCGGGCCUUGUACACACCGCCCGUCACACCAUGGGAGCCGGUAAUACCCGAAGUCAGUAGUCCAACCACGUGAGGACGCUGCCGAAGGUAGGAUUGGCGACUGGGGUGAAGUCGUAACAAGGUACC